GGAGAGUGACGGGCAGGGUCUGCUCAGGACCGAGCAGAGGGUGUGACUGGGCCUUGGGGGCGAGCCUGACCUUGAAGGCUCUCCAGAAUCCAGCAUCAGAGGACUGUCUGACUCUUCUCACCUGUCCCCCUCUUUGAGGAACCCAGAAUCUCUGGGGCAGGGAUGAUGCUGAGUAUAGUGCAAGACACUGGAGAAGCAAAUGACUGAAGUCCUGCCUAGUGGCAGCCCAAACUGACUAAGAUAUGAAGGAGGAGCAGGAUUGCCAAUAAGAACGUGAAAGUGAGAAGGUUCUGGGCGGAGAGAGCAGCAUGUGUCAAGGCCCAGAGUGGGACUGUUUCUGCUCACGGUGUCCAAGGACUCGACAGAAGAUCAAUGAAGAGACUGAGACCAGAGAGAUUAAGUAAUCAUCCAACCAGUUAAGUACUCAUGGGACAUUCAUCAAGACUGACAAUAUUCUGGGCCAUAAAAGACAUCUCAAUGAAUUUAAAAGAAUAAAAAUC
ensembl:lncRNA